ensembl:lncRNA
CCUGGAUGACAGGUAACCCAGACCUUCAACAGACAGGUUUUAUAAUCCUGGAUGACAGGUAACACAGACCUUCAACACAGGUCUUAUAAUCCUGGAUGACAGGUAACCCAGACCUUCAACAGAUAGGUCUUCUAAGCCUUAUAACUUGUAGUUUGUUUAAAGUGGGCCCAGUAGUUGUAUCUCCGUGUCUGUAUCUCCGAGUCUAUUUGAACCAGCUGUGAGGUGGUAGGGGCCAAAACGUGCACCCCUGGGGGUCCUGACAAGCUCUUUUGUCUUGUGUGUAGGGGUCUGCGGUGCUCGUGGCAGGGCCUGGCCUUACUGGACAGCAUGUUACCCACUCUG